GAUGGUUGGCUGCCUGGCUGAAAUGAAGAACUCAGUUCCCAGGACAUUGCUGAGUACUGACAGGACCCUUUUCCUUGUGGUGCCUCAGCUCUGAAUAUCGAUCAGGGAUGGAAGGUCAGGCGGUGGAUUGCAGCUGUCACUCUUGCAGUGAGCUUAUCGCUUCUCCGAUAGCUCUGGAAGCAUUUCCCCGUCUGUUAGGGACGGUUAGCUCUCUGUUGCCUGCCGCUAUCAAGUGGAAGCAUUCAGCCAGCCGAUUCUCCAGGGGUCUCCUGACGGCCUCCUUCACGCAGCCAGGCCCAGGCCAGCCCUGGGGACUUCAUCUCCUGUGUGUCCACAGUACAACGUUCUUGUCCCUGGUGUUCCCUCUCUGUGGAAAAGAAGAAAACCUGCUCUCCGAAGACAAGGCAUUGAUCUAUCAACGAUAUUAUAAUAAAUCAUAACAGGCUGUGCUCACGGUAAUAAAUUCAGAAACUAUUGUUCUUUUGAUCUUA